CAUAGAAUUUAUAUAUACAAUGAACUGAUCGAUUGAUAAAAUGUUAUUAUUGAACCUCUAAGUCAACACAUACAACACAUUUAAAUUUAAUAUUUAGGAAAAUGUCGGUGUUCUUUUCAAUUUGUAUGUUUUGAAUAGCUUCACAUAAACUGUCCUGUCACCAAUGCAUUCAUCUGAUUCAGAAAAAUGUGAAAUGGAAUCGACACCAAUAUUUGGAGAUGAAGCGUUCUGCAUGAUAUGUCCAUUUUGCCGCCAUGAGAUAGUAACAGCCAUGUCUUACAAUGCUGGAACUUUGUGCUGGUUUUUAUGUGGGCUAAUGAUAUUUUUGGGUUUGUGGUUGGGUUGCUGUUUGGUACCAUUCUAUGUGAACGCUGUUAAAGAUUGUGUCCAUUCGUGUCCAAAUUGUUGGCAAAUCUUGGGUCGGUACAAUCGACUCUAACCCUAUCGAUGCAGAAAUGCGAGUGACGAUAGAUCCGUCACAAUGGACAAUGAUCGAUCGAAGACAGAAUCAUGUGUAAAACAGCUUCCUCUUAUAUCUUAUAUCUUACGCUGAACCAUAUUUAUGGAAACUCUGCGCAUGGUAACUGGGAGAAAUAGGAGUAGAAAACUGAUGUUUUUCGAAAUUUUUGGAACAUGUACAAAAAAAUAACACAGUGGAGAAUGAGGUUCUCUACACUCUUAAUGAGGAUUUGGACGGGGUUUACCAAAAAAACAAAAGAAUAGCAGAUCAAACCCACAGAAAGCAGAAAAAAAACCUCAAAGAAUAGAGAAGAUAAGGCCCCAAACAAUAAAGAAUAGAAACAAAACACGGCUUUCAAGAUAUAGAAAAUAGAGAAAAACUACAUAGGAAUAAACAAAAUACAUUCUUGACGAUUCCCUAUUCUAGACACUAUCGUUUAGUUGAAAAACGUAGCCAAAAUAUUCUCUUUUUUUAUUAUAUAUAUGUCGAUGAUAAAAAAUAUAAGGGUAAAAGUUGUGUACACGUAGUAUACAUACAAUGAGUAGUGAGACUAUUUUGUGAAUUCAAUCAAUACUGAAGAUAAACUUAGAAAUAGGAAGACAUUAUCAGUGAUGGCUAAAACUUCAAAAUAAGGUUAGAAGAACAUGAAAGGAACACAAAUGGAAAAAGGAAACAAAAAAGUGAAAGAAACUUUAGGAGUUAAAUGUUACUGUUCCAAAGAAAUCAUGUCACAAGAGAACCCCAAUGUUUUGGUAUUAGGACAUCGGAUUUAAAAAAAAAUAGACAAGAGGACUGUGAACAAAUGAAUAAGGUUUUGAAGAUUUGCUGAAUGUUACAUUGAAACCCGAUUCAAAUUCGUCGAAAAACUAACUUACGAUCGGACACAAAACGUUAGUUUCGAAUAUUUGUUUUUCAGUACUGUGACUCUUUAACUUCGUAAUUAGUUUAGCACUCCAACUUUUUGUUUUGUAUCGCUAUUUGUGUGUUCUAUGUAAACACUGCGCGCGUCUACUAAGUAAUAAACCUGGUGUAUCUUAUCAUA